rnacentral:lncRNA from 1 species
UCAAACUCUGUACAAGGCUGUUACACCUUUAAAAGUUGUAGCAACUUUGCAGAUGUUCUAAGUGGUGGAAAUGUGUUCUUAGCUGCCUCUGCUCUGUCCCUUGUUCUCAGUCAUCUACCUACUCUGUGAUGCUUGGCAGGGUAUCUCUGUGUUUAUGAUCUCAGGAUUCCUUUUCCAUUUUGGCUUCAUAAGCCAGUUUCUAUUUUGUGCCAUCUUAAUACAUGAUCAUCUUUAAACACAAAGUACUCUGCAUAUAACAUAGAAAAAAAUUCAGCACAAAUUUAAUUCUCUACAUUGUGCAUAGAGCCAACCAAGGCUUCCAUGUUGCCCUUAAAGUAAAUUCCAAACUCCUUACCAUAGGAAAGGAAGGAGAUUAUUGUCUGUCUUAACAAAACAAAACAAAACUCCCUGAUUACUUAGCUUUUAUUUAUAUAUUCUUUAUCGUAAUUUCUGUAUCUUUAAUUUAUUCCUAGUUCCAUUUUAUACCCAUAUUUUGCCGCUACCCUUUACAAUCCUGAUACCUGGUGCUGCCUCUGGCAGGUGUUCCCUUGGUAUGACAAACCUAACCGUCUGGGCUCUCUUAGUUAAUAGAGCUUGCAUCCAUCCACAUGAGCGUUGGUUAACAUCCAUCUAGCUAUACUACUGAUCCAUGAGUUCUAUGAACAAUGAGAAAAUCUAUCAGUUUGAGCACAGUAAUAAUAAACUCAGAGUCACUAGUUAGGUAUCAGUGUUACAUUGAGACAGAAAUCUGUAGAACACCUUGUUUUUUGUCAUUUGACCAAGAUUAAGCCCAUAUUUAGACUCUCUCCUUUGCUGUCUGUGUGUCUUCUUGUAGCUCUAGUCUGCCAGUUGUAUGAGUCUAGAUAUCUGCCUGAAGUAGAGAUCUUUUAAGUCUGCCCCUGUGUCUGAAUCUGGGUCUAUGUCUAUGUUGGAGUAUCUGUCUCUAGCAAAGGGCUUUGCUCUCCCUCUCUUUUCUUAGACAGCACAGAAAGUAUUACACUGGGGAAAGGAAUGAGGGACACUUUCCAGAAAUGUUUAAUAGCAGAGUUUUACAAGAGGUUAUAUCACCAACUCCAACUGACUCCAACACUAUAAAGAAAUAUUCACAUGUUGCAUUCAACAUUUAUAGUGGAUAUUCAUUUUAUAAGGUCUCUUUCAUCCUAUUUGCUGUCUUCAUCAAGUGAUCAUAACACGUACACACAUGCAUUGCUCAUGUGUCAGGAGCAUGCAAGAUCAUAUAAUUUGAGAUUAUAGCUAUUGUAAAUGUAGAUUACACGAUAAAUCCAAGGCAAGUAAAGUUAUCGUUAUACUUUUCUGUUAAAGGUACAUUAAAUAAAUACUCUGAGUACAUAAUAGGAUAGCGGUCUUAAGGCUUAAGUGACCUUAGGGUAUAUUAUAAAUUUCAUUAGUGAAGUCCAGCAAAAGUUCCAGUUUCUUAAAAUGUAAGAGGUAUUUUUGCAAAGCAUUACCACAAGAAAGUGCUGUACUUAAAUGUCUUGUUUUGGCACAUCACAAGUACUUCUUAAAUCCUCCUGUUUCAUUAACUAAUGUACUGUGUCUUAACUAACCAGAAUUACUGGAAUCUAACACAGUCCUGGACACACAGUAAAAGAUCCAAUAUUCUUUUUUUUAAGACCCAAUGUUCUUAAGUGAGCAAAUGGAGAGAAGUUUUUAAGUCAUAGCAACCUUCCCUGCCUUCCUGUCUGUUUGAACGUGGGCCUUUUCUUGUUUAAAGACUUUCUUACCUGAGCCUCUUAUGCUACUGGGGGAAAACAUUCCCCAAAGAAAACCUCCCAAUUCCUUUUUUGUUUUGAGCAAUCUGAAGAGUGAUGGUGGUCCAGUUACCAUGUUGUGUAUAUUACAUAACCAAACAGAUACACGGAAGCACUCUGCCAGGAUGCCAGUUUUCAAAUGGUGCCAUGUGAAGCCCUUGUUCUUGGUUCUAACCUAGUAAGGAUUAUUAGACACAGAAAUAUUCUUUUUAGUAGUAUAAAAAAAAUAGAAAGAAUCUGUAAGUUACAUGUGUAGAAUGCUGGUAGCUGCCUGUACAAAAGCUUGACCAUAGGGAAAGAGCCAGGGCUGAGAAGUAUAGAAUAUACUAGGAAGCAACAGUGUACUGGGGCAGGAAGGAGGAAGGCACAGGAAAGCCAACAAGUGGGUUCUCUGCACUCCACAAUGCUAGAGCUGAUUAUGAAGCACAGUCUCCCAAAAGGCAGGAGGCAAAUACUUGCUAAAGCACAUUGUAUCUCAGGACCACAGUAGAUUGUGCUCUGGUUAUCACCCUGUGGUCAAAGGAAGCAGUAGACUGCAGUUUCGGAAAAAGAAAAAUAGCAGGGUACUAUAUGAAAUGUGUGUGUGUGUGUGUGUGUGUGUGUGUGUGUGUGUUAAUGUUUCUUCAAAACAUCAUGAGAGCUCAACUCCUCAAAGAUUGAAUUAGUUCCAAGGUCAUUGGGCUACUUGUUUAAUUGCUCAGCCAGAAUUAAAAUCUAUAUUUUUCUGAUUCUCAAUU